GUCUUUCCUUGUGGGCGAGACCGCAUUUUCCGGUUUUCCUUCUUUAAUGCUUUCGGUGUUACAGGAAUUCAAUGAUAUUAGUUUCUCAUGCUCACGAUCAGGAUUAUCGGUAAAACAAUGGAGACCAUCACACAGUAUCCGUGUGCGCCACGCUAACAGCGAACUGAUCAUUAGUAUCGCGCUCAAGAGAAAGACAAGAAGACUACCAGCCAGCUUUCAUUGUAAGAAAGCAACUUGAUCUGGGGUGCGCACGCGUUUUGGAGGCUUUCUGCUGCACUUUCUUGGAUCUAGAAAAUCCUCAUAUCCUCAGCUUUCUCGUAAAUUUACCUUUUUAAUUUUGUGGUCCAAAAUGCCACAGACAACUCCAUAUUCAAGCAAAUUCAACCCUAGCACUUACAGCAGCAGCCAUAGUCACCGCCAACCUGUGGAGGAGAACUAUGGGGGUCUGCACUAUCGUGAUAAUAAGCUUGUGUCUGGUUCUCUGGAAGCCCUGAUACAGCUCUUAGUCCCUACUGUGGACUAUUACCCUGACCGAUCAUACAUUUUCACCUUCCUGCUAAGUUCCCGUCUCUUCCUGCAUCCGUUCGAGCUCAUGUCUCGUGUUUGUUACCUCUGUGUGGACCAUCACAGGGUUGGCGACCCACAGAUAGAUAAG